AACCCAUGUUGUGGACACUUCCGCAAAAGUUCAUUGAAUCUUUCCCAAGUCUCAAACAAAGCUUCAAGCUUUAUCUGAACAAAUGAAGAUAUUUUAUUGCGAAGCUU